GCGGCAGUGGCAGUGGCAGCGGCAGCCUCAGCCUCGCGCUGUCUCACGCGCACACACAGAGUCAGAGGGGGAAGCUCGAUGAGACCGGUGUCCGUUCGCAGUGCAACGGCGCCGAAAAUGGCGAAACGGCCUUUCGAAGAGCCCUGACAGUAAGUGUAAAAGCAGACCAAAGGAAGAGACCAAAUUAGCGAGACACUGACUCAGUGUCAGCGGAGUCUUGACCGUUUCCACCGAACACAACGACGACAAGAGCGACGCGAACUUUCCGCCGGGCGCUAAUAGCGCGUUAGCUACUCUACUGCUGGGCACCGUUCGCUUUACUUCACACUUCACUCUGUCUGUGCACGUAGGAAGAAGAGUAGAAAGAAGAAAGCCAUGUUAAAUAUUUGUCGUUACUUGUCGUUAUUGCGCCGACCCCUCUGUCCAACACGGCUUAAAUGUCACAAGCAAACUAAAAGGCUUUCGAAGAAUUUUUUGCACACAGAAAAAAUAACUUGUUUUAUACGACACGAUUUGACUGAGCGCCUCUGUGACGUCACUGGAAAGUUUCUAUAAAAUGAAUUUAUAAUCAGGUGCCGUGUCCAGUAGGCUUUUUCGGAGAUGAUCUGGCGAUUCAGCACUUCUUCCUCUCUGUGUCCGAAGAUGGCAGAUAAGCGGAAAGCUGAACGAAGCUGAAAAGUAGGGAGCAGAUUUCGAACGUCAUGGACGUCUUUGUAGACUGUGGUCUCGGUCUUCGCCGCUCAGCCUGGACGGUUUUUUCGCAGAACGGAUUCUACACUGCAGACCGCUGCAAGAGCUCACCGUCACUGUCCCACCAUUCUUUAUCUAGAUGCCUGUAAGAGGGAGUUUUUGUUGAGAAUUGCUGACAUUUCAGCCAGGGGAAGUUUGACAUGUGGAGCCUUUAAGAGAUGCUCCUUCACACAGCAGGACUCUAUUUCAGUUGGAACUUUGCACACGUGCUGCUUUCUUUUUAUUUCUACACACAGAAUGCCUAACAAACAGUCUAAAAAGGGACACGCUGACCGCAGUGGGAUUGACCAAGGCUCUCGUGCCUGCUCUCCGCUUCGUCCAAGGUCCGGACACACUGUUCGGUCCAGACAGACGCAGCUCCUGAGCUUACGAGAUCUUCCAGGGAGGAGGGUCCUCCUUUCCCCCCCACCCCCCAGGGGAGCUGAAAGAGGCCGGGGGACGUGCGAUUGAGAACAGAGGGCCGGUGAACUGGUUCCUGUGAGAGGAAAGUGCUGUUUGAUAUCUUGGGGCGCCCAAAAACACCGCUACACUUAUUACUUCCUGCGGGAGAGCAGCAUUUACACUUGUAGUAGUAACUGAGUAAACAUCCAAAGUCACCCCUUCCUCCCUGAGCUCACACACACACACACACGCGCAUUCGUGCGCAGAUACUCUGUACUUUGAAUAAAAAUAUUACAAAUAAAUGAAUAAAUGUCUUUCAAAUAAGCGUAUUUGUUAGAACUGCCACGCACUGCAUAAAGGACGCAGAUUUGAAUGCCCGCUACUGCUGUAGUACCCUAGUACCCUUGGUCAUGGUACUUAGCCUCAUACAGUAAAAAUGACAACUGUGUAAAUGGGUUAAUUAGUGUAAGUUGUUCAACACUAUGUUGUCAUCUAAAAAAAUAACUGGGCAUGUACAGAACCCCGGUGAAUCUCAGGACAAACGAUUUUCAUUGUAGGCCUGGCACACGGUGAGGGUCCAGGACUCAUGUGACAAUAGUGUACUCACUGCACUCACUGGAGUGCCCAAGUACCAGUUUGCUGGACUUCAAAGUUCUGAUGAACCUGUGCCGAGACCACACAACCCAUGGGAUUGUGUCCUGAUAUAUCAAGAGUGUCCAGCUGCCUAGGAACUGCUUCCAGAUGUAGGUCCUUCUCAGGCUCUCCUGCUUCCUGUGGAAUGGCAACAGCAGCAUCGUGCCAGACCUGUACGCAGUGGGGUCAGAUUUACAUACUAGGGUGGAUUUUUAAAAAGGGACAGGUGUUGUUUUUCUUUUCAAGGUCCAGCGUUGAGUGUCAUGAUGUGAGUGCUGGCAGCGCUCAAGUGUUCUCAGUUACAGCUGAAAAGACGCAGCCACAAGUGUUCGGCCUUCUUGGAAGUAAACUUUGUUUACAUGACAGCUGACUAACUGUGGAGAAAUGGCACGGAUCACUUGGCACCAGACCCACACAGUCCCGAUGAUGAGAAAGGGACCGAGACUCAUCUGCAGCAGGUUUGUGUUCUGGGUCACAAGUUCCAUUCUCCAGCUGUCAGUGUCGGGAAAGUGGGCUGGACAGGGUCCCGCUGACACGCUCAGUGUGCGCUGGGGUGACCACGACUUCCACGGCCUCCAGAGAUGACAGCCGUGCAGCAGCGGGGAGGGAAAGGAAUUACACCUCCCGGAUGAUUUACGUUUCUGUCACUCACAUGCACAUGCAUGCAGGCAACGCGACUCUGGAAAAUGAAGAAGUUGCUUUGCUUGUGCCGCUAAUCUACUUUUCUCGGCCGAAGGACAUGGGACGCGGUUCCCGGCUCUGGUCAGCUAUGUCAGCUGGAACCUGGCCAUUCGUUCUGACAGUAAGCCUGUGAACUGGCUCUCGAACCAGGCACCGCAGCAUUCCUCCUGUAAUCACUGAUCAAAUGGAUCUGCUGCACUACAUACGUUACGGUUCAGGGACACCUAACCUUCGAGACAAGCAAAAUGCCCCGGACGUUCAUUCUCAACGCCUGUUGGUGUUCGCACCCGAGUUUAUCCUGUACAAUUCAAUGGUUUUUUUAAACUGUUUUUUGCUCUUUACAUAAAUACAUUUUAAAUGUUGCAAAUAAUUCUACAAACAUUUUCCUGAAUGAUAAUGUUUACAGUGCACAGUGUUUAGAUGUUCAUACGUCUAAACAGUUGUUAAAAAGAAUUUUGGCAUUGAGAUUUGAUGGAUCACAAACUGAUUAUUUUGUGCAUAUUCACAGAAGAGAUCUACUGAGGGUUUAUGGAAAUUUCAAACAUUUUCAUGCAGUCACUGUUAAGUAUUAUUAUGAAGGUGCCCAAGCUUUAACUGACGAAUAUUUCACAAUUUCAUACAGCUGGAUAUUCAAGUCACAGUCAAACAAUAUUACACUGCCCUUAGUACUAGUUUCUUUAAUAUAAAUACCAUAAAUACUCCAAACCGUAAUAUUUAAAUCAGUUGAUGAAGCCACACACUGUGCUACAAGGCGGAUCAUAAUUCUAAAAAAAAAAAAAAUCCUUCAAUUUUAGGGUGUCUGACAGUCAUAUUUCAGACAAGCCAUAUUUCUCUGUAGCCUCUCCUGCACUUGGAAAAUGUUAACUUUGCUCUGCAAGUUAAACAGCAAAGGAUGUUCCCUGUUUAAACCCACAAGACAUAUACAAUCAAUUUAAUGUAAAGGGGUUUUAUGCACUUUGCCUCUGAUGGAGAAAAACAGAUUUUUAGUGUAUUCUCUUCCCUGGAAAACAUAACAUGAAGCAGACAGGGGUAAUGAAUGUAAACACUUAAUGGAUCAUUGACUGUCACAAGUGCUCAUGUAGGUCUCUUCUAAACUGAUGUGGGGCAUUCCGAAAACAAAACAAACUGCAUGCCAUUGUUUUGUCCUGCUUUCAUCCUACAGACGCUCCAAAAUUAUUUAUACUCGCCCGUUGCAAAAAAGAUCCCAAAGCCCCAGCUCAUGGAGGAAGACACACCGCUGAGAUGAAAAAUGGUGGUGUGGUGUGUGACUCCUCCCUUUUCCCAGUGGCACUGACUUUUUGACCAAGCCUUUUUCUGAGAAUGUAUUUGUGUUCAGAAUUAAUGGUUCAGAGGUACAGGAAAUACCAAAUAUCAGAUGGCGGUGCAAAAAAAAAAAAAAAAAUCAUUCUUGUGUCAAUACCAUAAUGGAAGGCAAUAUGUUUGAGGCUAUUGGAUAAAACGGUUUUGUAGUAAGAGGACAAAAAAAAAAAAAAACAUGUAGUUAACGGAGACUCCUUUUAUUCCAUGUAACUGGAAAUGAUCUUAGGCUGCAGCAGAAAUGAGAGAGUAAAAAUUUACUAAAGAGCCCACAGAGGUUGGAAUCCAAACACAUAGGCAGCACUGAGACUUGGAUAAACCUGCAUUUUACUGCGGUGUGAGUCCGAAAUGUUGUCGCUCUCUCCCAAGACGGUGUGUCAGAUGUGUCCAGUGGGAUGAGGAAUGUCAGGCGUGUAACUGAUACCACAAACCAAACAGAGCGUUGCAUCAUUCAAUCCAGGCCAGAACAUGGGGGGUGGGGUGACGGUAGCUUCGCUCUGUCCCGUUUCCCAUGUCCUCGCCCAGCAUGGGCGCUGGGGCAACUGGCCACAUCGUUCCAUUACAUGCGUCUAUAACAUUUUUGUCACAUCGAAUACUCAAGUAAAUCCAACUAGAAGGAGAAGACCGACGAUGUAUUUACAGCGUUUAUACUGUUCCUGCCUUUGUAGUCACUUGACAUUUGUAUCAAGAUUGUAUGUGAUUGUAUUGAACUACUACUAUUAUAGUGUAAAGUGUACUUUUAUACUACUAUUUAUACUCGUAUUUGUAUACUUUGUAAAUAUGUAUUUAUUUAUUGUGUAA